rnacentral:rRNA from 1 species
AACGAACGCUGUCGGCAGGCUUAACACACGCAAGUCGAACGCCCGUAGCAAUCCGGGAGUGGCGGACGGGUGAGUAACUCGUGGGAACGUCCCGUGAGGUACGGAGUAACUGCGGGAAAGUGCAGCUAAUACUGUAGGAGCCGCGUAAGGGGGUAAGAUUUAUCGCCUUAGGAGCGGCCCGCGUCGGAUUAGCUAGGUGGUGGGGUAACGGCUUACCAAGGCUUCGAUCCGUAGCUGGUCUGGGAGGACGAUCAGCCACACUGGGACUGAGACACGGCCCAGACUCCUACGGGAGGCAGCAGUGGGGAAUCUUGCGCAAUGGGGGCAACCCUGACGCAGCCAUGCCGCGUGAAUGAUGAAGGCCUUAGGGUUGUAAAGUUCUUUUGCCCGUGACGAUGAUGACGGUAGCGGGAGAAUAAGCUCCGGCUAACUUCGUGCCAGCAGCCGCGGUAAGAC